ACAUAAUGUUUUAUUUAGUUCAUGAGACUGAUCAUGAGAAGAUAACUUUAUUAUAUAACAUGGAAACCAUUCUUACAUUUAUAAAAUAAAUCCGAAAUGAUAAAAUGUAACAAGAUAAAAGUUUACUUUAAAUACAAAAACUUCAAUCUCGUGGUUAAAACAAAACAAGUAUCAACAUAUUAGCAUGGAAUUCAAAAAUUAAAUAGUACAGAAAAAACAACAACAAAAAAACAACAACAGUAGCCCUAGGAAGCUU